UGUCACCUAUCUGUUUAGCUCUGGAGGAAAAAAUGUGCUCGCACCUAUCUCUCUUGGUCCGUUCGCCUCGCCCGAUCACACUUUUCAUAACGCCAUUGUC